AUUGAACGCUGGCGGCAUGCCUUACACAUGCAAGUCGAACGGCAGCACGGAGCUUGCUCUGGUGGCGAGUGGCGAACGGGUGAGUAAUAUAUCGGAACGUACCCAAGAGUGGGGGAUAACGUAGCGAAAGUUACGCUAAUACCGCUUACGAUCUAAGGAUGAAAGCAGGGGACCGCAAGGACUUGUGCUCCUGGAUCGGCCGAUAUCUGAUUAGCUAGUUGGUGAGGUAAAGGCUCACCAAGGCAUCGAUCAGUAGCUGGUCUGAGAGGACGACCAGCCACACUGGAACUGAGACACGGUCCAGACUCCUACGGGAGGCAGCAGUGGGGAAUUUUGGACAAUGGGGGCAACCCUGAUCCAGCAAUGCCGCGUGAGUGAAGAAGGCCUUCGGGUUGUAAAGCUCUUUUGUCAGGGAAGAAACGGUCGUGGCUAAUAUCCAUGGCUAAUGACGGUACCUGAAGAAUAAGCACCGGCUAACUACGUGCCAGCAGCCGCGGUAA
rnacentral:rRNA from 1 species